rnacentral:rRNA from 1 species
UACGUAGGGCGCAAGCGUUGUCCGGAAUCAUUGGGCGUAAAGAGCUCGUAGGUGGUCUGUUACGUCUGCUGUGAAAUCCUAGGGCUUAACCUGGGAACUGCAUUCGAGACUGCAUUGCUAGAGUAUGGGAGAGGGAAGUGGAAUUUCCGGUGUAGCGGUGAAAUGCGUAGAUAUCGGAAGGAACAUCAGUGGCGAAAGCGACUUCCUGGACCAAUACUGACGCUCAUGUGCGAAAGCGUGGGGAGCAAACAGG